AGCGAACGCUGGCGGCAGGCCUAACACAUGCAAGUCGAACGAACUCUUCGGAGUUAGUGGCGGACGGGUGAGUAACACGUGGGAACGUGCCUUUAGGUUCGGAAUAACUCAGGGAAACUUGUGCUAAUACCGAAUGGGCCCUUCGGGGGCAAGGUUUAUCGCCUUCAGAGCGGCCCGCGUCUGAUUAGCUAGUUGGUGAGGUAACGGCCCACCCAGGCGACGAGCAGGAGCUGGUCUGAGGGGAUGGCCAGCCACACUGGGGCGGAGACCUGGGCCAGACUCCUACGGGAGGCAGCAGUGGGGAGUCGUGCGGAAUGGGCGAAAGCCUGACGCAGGCAUGCCGCGUGAAUGAUGAAGGUCUUAGGACUGUAAAAUUCUUUCGCCGGGGACGAUAAUGACGGUAGCCGGAGAAGAAGCCCCGGCUAACUUCGUGCCAGCAGCCGCAGUAA
rnacentral:rRNA from 1 species